UUGUGUGGAUGAUGAGAGGCUUGAAUUUCAGGAUGGCGAUCUGGUUGUGUUCUCUGAAGUUCAGGGAAUGAGUGAACUGAAUGAUGGAAAGCCAAGAAAGGUUACAAAUGCAAGACCGUACUCAUUUCAAAUUGAGGAAGACACCACAAACUAUGGUGCAUAUGUGAAAGGUGGUAUUGUGACACAAGUGAAGCAACCUAAGGUGUUGAACUUUAAGCCAUUGCGAGAUGCACUUAAGGACCCAGGGGAUUUCCUUCUUAGUGAUUUCUCCAAGUUUGAUCGUCCGCCUCUCUUGCACUUGGCAUUCCAGGCGUUGGAUAAAUUUAUUUUAGAAUUGGGACGCUUUCCAGUUACUGGUUCAGAGGAUGAUGCUCAAAAAUUGAUAUCUUUGGUCACCAGCAUCAAUGAUAACUCAACAGAUGGGAGGCUUGAAGAAAUUAAUCAAAAAAUUCUGCACCAUUUUGCAUUUGGUGCUAGGGCUGUCCUUAAUCCCAUGGCUGCUAUGUUUGGU
rnacentral:misc_RNA from 1 species